GAUGAACGCUGGCGGCGUGCCUAAUACAUGCAAGUCGAGCGAACAGACGAGGAGCUUGCUCCUCUGACGUUAGCGGCGGACGGGUGAGUAACACGUGGAUAACCUACCUAUAAGACUGGGAUAACUUCGGGAAACCGGAGCUAAUACCGGAUAAUAUAUUGAACCGCAUGGUUCAAUAGUGAAAGACGGUUUUGCUGUCAAUUAUAGAUGGAUCCGCGCCGCAUUAGCUAGUUGGUAAGGUAACGGCUUACCAAGGCAACGAUGCGUAGCCGACCUGCGAGGGUGAUCGGCCACACUGGAACUGAGACACGGUCCAGACUCCUACGGGAGGCAGCAGUAGGGAAUCUUCCGCAAUGGGCGAAAGCUUGACGGAGCAACGCCGCGUGAGUGAUGAAGGUCUUCGGAUCGUAAAACUCUGUUAUUAGGGAAGAACAAAUGUGUAAGUAACUAUGCACGUCUUGACGGUACCUAAUCAGAAAGCCACGGCUAACUACGUG
rnacentral:rRNA from 1 species